rnacentral:lncRNA from 1 species
GAACCCGCGCCCGGCUCCCGUUGGGAGGGAGCGGCAUCUAGCGGCAGAGAGUUGCCACUGCAACGCCUGGCUCCCAGCCCUCCCACCCAACGUCCUCCUCCCAGUCACCGACCAAUCGUGGCCCACUGACUCCCGGGUUCAGCGUCUCCGACGCCGCCCGCAAACCAGGCGCCCGCAGGGGCGCGCCACCGAGUGGGGUAAACAAGGUGCCGUGCCCGCGCCUGACUUACUCAUUCGUUUGGCCGCCCUUCCGCCGCGGACCCGAUCGAGCCGCGGUUUUUCUGUCUUUAGUAGGGUGUCGAGGGGAGGGCGGUAAGAAUGUCCGGCGGAGCCCCGGGCCGUGGGAAUCCAGAGGCUGGCUGGACUCGCUCGAGGACUCGUUCCCCGGGCCCCUGCGCUCCUCGCGCGGCGCUAAGCCCACUGGUCCCGUCUCCGAGAAAACGUGGUCUGUGUCUCCAGGGUCUAGGAGUCCUAAGGAACUGGACUACUAGGCUAGGCCGGGCGCUCGACCAAUUUGUUCGCCACUCUCGGGGCAGAGGAAGAGAUACGACCGAGCGAAGUGGAGGGAAAUCGAAAUUUGGGCAAAGGAGUGUGGGGGGACCCCGCCUCACCCGCGCAUCCACUGGCUUCCUGGGCGGGGGCAGCAGCGCGAAAUUGUUGAGAAUUUAGGUUACCUCGCACCCUGCCUUCCCAACCCUCCCCCAAGAUGUUUGAAGUGCGAAAAGACCCUUUCUGUUCCUCCGACCCCUGUUAACUAAAAUGUUUGUCACCCUUAUUUUUUUAUUUGUUUCGAAUCCAGUGUACUGGACCUUUGACCGCCAAGAGCUCUUUACUCGGGGGAGAAAAACUCGGGGAGGGCCUAUCCCAUCCAAAGCACCGCUUUUUCCUUGGACAGGAAGAAGUGACCUAUUACAGUGUCUCCAUUGCUGUUAUAGAAGUUCGUAGAUUCAUAAAAUAGUGUUUGCUUAAGAAGUCUUCGUUUCUGUUCCUUUUGUGAAAUUUUGGUUAAAAUAUUUCUUAAAUAUUAAACUACAUUUCAGUUAGAAGAAAAGGAAUAAAACGUAUUAAUAACAAAACA